UACGUAGGUCCCGAGCGUUGUCCGGAUUUAUUGGGCGUAAAGCGAGCGCAGGUGGUUUAUUAAGUCUGGUGUAAAAGGCAGUGGCUCAACCACUGUAUGCAUUGGAAACUGGUAGACUUGAGUGCAGGAGAGGAGAGUGGAAUUCCAUGUGUAGCGGUGAAAUGCGUAGAUAUAUGGAGGAACACCGGUGGCGAAAGCGGCUCUCUGGCCUGUAACUGACACUGAGGCUCGAAAGCGUGGGGAGCAAACAGG
rnacentral:rRNA from 1 species